rnacentral:rRNA from 1 species
CCUACGGGAGGCAGCAGUAGGGAAUCUUCCGCAAUGGGCGAAAGCCUGACGGAGCAACGCCGCGUGAGUGAUGAAGGUCUUCGGAUCGUAAAACUUCUGUUAUUUAGGAGAAGAACAAAUGUGGUAAGUAACUAUGCACGUCUUGACGGUACCUAAUCAGAAAGCCACGGCUAACUACGUGCCAGGCAGCCGCGGUAAUACGUAGGUGGCAAGCGUUAUCCGGAAUUAUUGGGCGUAAAGCGCGCGUAGGCGGUUUUUUAAGUCUGAUGUGAAAGCCCACGGCUCAACCCGUGGAGGGUCAUUGGAAACUGGAAAACUUGAGUGCAGAAGAGGAAAGUGGAAUUCCAUGUGUAGCGGUGAAAUGCGCAGAGAUAUGGAGGAACACCAGUGGCGAAGGCGACUUUCUGGUCUGUAACUGACGCUGAUGUGCGAAAGCGUGGGGAUCAAACAGGAUUAGAUACCCUGGUAGUCCACGCCGUAAACGAUGAGUGCUAAGUGUUAGGGGGUUUCCGCCCCUUAGUGCUGCAGCUAACGCAUUAAGCACUCCGCCUGGGGAGUACGACCGCAAGGUUGAAACUCAAAGGAAUUGACGGGGACCCGCCACAAGCGGGUGGAGCAUGGUGGUUUAAUUCGAAGCAACGCGAAGAACCUUAC